AACGUUACCAAACUGUUGCCUCGGCGGGAUCUCUGCCCCGGGUGCGUCGCAGCCCCGGACCAAGGCGCCCGCCGGAGGACCAACCAAAACUCUUUUUGUAUACCCCCUCGCGGGUUUUUUAUAAUCUGAGCCUUCUCGGCGCCUCUCGUAGGCGUUUCGAAAAUGAAUCAAAACUUUCAACAACGGAUCUCUUGGUUCUGGCAUCGAUGAAGAACGCAGCGAAAUGCGAUAAGUAAUGUGAAUUGCAGAAUUCAGUGAAUCAUCGAAUCUUUGAACGCACAUUGCGCCCGCCAGUAUUCUGGCGGGCAUGCCUGUCCGAGCGUCAUUUCAACCCUCGAACCCCUCCGGGGGGUCGGCGUUGGGGAUCGGCCCUGCCUCUUGGCGGUGGCCGUCUCCGAAAUACAGUGGCGGUCUCGCCGCAGCCUCUCCUGCGCAGUAGUUUGCACACUCGCAUCGGGAGCGCGGCGCGUCCACAGCCGUUAAACACCCAACUUCUGAAAUGUUGACCUCGGAUCAGGUAGGAAUACCCGCUGAACUUAAGCAUAUCAAUAAGCGGAGG
rnacentral:rRNA from 1 species